rnacentral:lncRNA from 1 species
CGACCUUCAGACCAUUCCAGAAGAGGGUCUUCCAUCUUCCUUAUCUUCUCUGUCCAUUCUCCGCUGCCCAUUCCUGGAACAAAGGUGUCAGCAAGAGAAAGGUGAAGACUGGGCCAAGAUUUCUCACAUCCCCAACCUAGAAAUCGGUUGCUACAAUGUUUAAGACACCCACCAAAUGGUUUCCUCAUUCGAUUAAUCAUGCAAACCCCCUCAGGUAAAUCUGGUAGCCAGAAGCAUAUAUUAUAUGAUGCUGUUCAAUAUUUAUUUUCUGUAUUUUGAGGCGCCUGGCUUGAUAUUUAUCACUCUGAUUUUUCUAGUUCCAGCUGUUUAAUGUCUAUGCACAGAAUAAUCAGUACUAGCUGAAGCUUGCUCGUCGUUUUAACUGUUCGUAGGUUUUCAACGAAAGGAUUCAUGUGCUUGAGCCUAAGAGAAAUGUCCUUCCGAGUCCCUUAUGGCUUCAUUACCGCCUACGCAAAAUUGCCAGCGAUCUGAAGCCACAAUCGUGACCCAUGGAUUGAGUACUGACGGAGCUUGGCUGAUUGACAAUUUUACACGUCCCUUGGUGGGAAGUCGUUCAUCAACGGUAUGAAAACCCAUUUCUUGAUCCAGAAAUUACAAGCCACAACUCCAGAGACGAAAUGACGAGACUGUGAUGUAAAUUGCUGCAACUGGAAAAACAUUCUAAACUGCUGAAAGAUGGCAAGCACCCUCUAUAUAUGAGGACACACGUGGUCACUGUGCAGCCUUCUUCAACUUUCAGGCAAGUAAAACCUGCUAAUCCUAUCAUGCAGAAUAUUGACAUAUGACGAGCUAGCUAACUAACUAAUGACUCACUCUGUUGAUCAUUUGAAGAUGCCGAUGGAGUAAUCAAACUUGCAUCAUUUGUCAGAUUCUGUUGGGAAAGGGGCGAAACGAUGUGAAACCAAUUUCGAAUUGGAUCUCCAAAGGUGGGAAGGAAUUCCGGCCAGUUGCAUGGUUUCCGCUGGUACAUCACUUUCGUUAACUUAAUCUAUAUAUGUACACCUUCAUCAUGGGAUGUGUUCAUAUAAAUCUAUCCAGCGGCAGACACUCGUUGAUGGAGAGCAGUGGCAUGUGAU